rnacentral:misc_RNA from 1 species
CAACUGCGCGUCGACAUGUGAACUGCAGGACACAUGAACAUCGACGUUUCGAACGCACAUUGCGGUCCUUGGAUUAAGUUCCCGGACCACACCUGGCUGAGGGUCGGUCGUUUGAUGGCUAGCACGGCCGUGUUUGUGCAAGUGGCGAACCAGGCUGCGUGGCGGCCGGGCGAGUCUGAACGCACGAGGAACCAAAAGGCCGCCGUGCGGUCGGUGGACUCGCGACAGGUAUCGAUCGUGAUGGCCUGACGCUGUCCUCUCGACGGCGGGCUGGGAACCGUGCCUUCGGUUUUGUAACAAUCGACCUCAGAUCAGGUGAGAUCACCCGCCAAAUUUAA